GUCUAUAACCACAUAACUGAAACUUGCUCAGUUUCAUCUAAUCUAAACUAAGUAGAUUAGUCCUAAUUUUUAUUUGAAUGGGAGACUUUCUGGCAAUAUCAAAUGUUGUAGGUA
rnacentral:rRNA from 1 species